CUGGGACUUUGUCACCCAAAUGCAAAGCUGAUGUGCAGAAUAUAAUUAACUUGGAUGAUGUAACUUCUUUAGUCAAUGCUUCAUCUCUUUAUUCUCUAUGGCAAGGAAAGCAUUAAAAUGGGUACUUGGCAGAGAACUUCUGAUAGAACGUCUUCCAGAAGCAAAGGAGAAAACCAUUCCGAUACUGUGUAGUAUCCCAUUUUAACAGGCUUCGAAUGAAGCAUUGACUUUUUCAGUUUGAGUGUUAGAUAACAAAGAAAUAAGAGCCUUCUAGCAACAGUCCGUCUGGCUCUGAAGCAUCUUCAAACAACAAGUGAAGCCAUAACGUCUCCAUUGCACUGCUAGCGUGACCAAAGCAGGUGCAGGGGUAUGUGUGUCGGCUUUAGUAAAGAUUGUUGGAGCCACUAAUACAAGUGAAGGCCCA
rnacentral:lncRNA from 1 species